CCUACGGGAGGCAGCAGUGAGGAAUAUUGGUCAAUGGACGCGAGCCUGAACCAGCCAAGUAGCGUGAAGGAUGACUGCCCUAUGGGUUGUAAACUUCUUUUAUACAGGAGUAAAGUGAGGUACGUGUGCUGUGUUGUAUGUACUUUAUGAAUAAGGAUCGGCUAACUCCGUGCCAGCAGCCGCGGUAAUACGGAGGAUCCGAGCGUUAUCCGGAUUUAUUGGGUUUAAAGGGAGCGUAGAUGGGUUGUUAAGUUAGUUGUGAAAGGUCGCGGCUCAACCGUGGAACUGCAUUUAAUACUGGUGGUCUAGAGUGCAGUUGAGGUAGGCGGAAUGCGUGGUGUAGCGGUGAAAUGCUUAGAUAUCACGAAGAACACCGAUUGCGAAGGCAGCUUACUAAACUGCCACUGACAUUGAGGCUCGAAAGCGUGGGUAGCAAACAGGAUUAGAUACCCCAGUAGUC
rnacentral:rRNA from 1 species